AUUGAACGCUGGCGGAAUGCUUUACACAUGCAAGUCGAACGGCAGCACGGGGGCAACCCUGGUGGCGAGUGGCGAACGGGUGAGUAAUACAUCGGAACGUGCCCGAUCGUGGGGGAUAACGUAGCGAAAGUUACGCUAAUACCGCAUACGAUCUGAGGAUGAAAGCGGGGGACCUUCGGGCCUCGCGCGAUCGGAGCGGCCGAUGUCAGAUUAGGUAGUUGGUGGGGUAAAGGCCUACCAAGCCGACGAUCUGUAGCUGGUCUGAGAGGACGACCAGCCACACUGGGACUGAGACACGGCCCAGACUCCUACGGGAGGCAGCAGUGGGGAAUUUUGGACAAUGGGCGCAAGCCUGAUCCAGCCAUUCCGCGUGCAGGACGAAGGCCUUCGGGUUGUAAACUGCUUUUGUAUGGAACGAAAAGGCUCUGGCUAAUACCUGGGGCUCAUGACGGUACCGUAAGAAUAAGCACCGGCUAACUACGUG
rnacentral:rRNA from 1 species